rnacentral:rRNA from 1 species
GAUGAACGCUAGCGGCAGGCCUAAUACAUGCAAGUCGAACGAUAUUAUCCAGCUUGCUGGAUAUGAAAGUGGCGCACGGGUGCGUAACGCGUAUGCAACCUACCUUAUUCAGGGGGAUAGCCCGAAGAAAUUCGGAUUAACACCGCAUAAAAUCACAGUUCAGCAUUGGACAAUGAUCAAAUAUUUAUAGGAAUAAGAUGGGCAUGCGUGUCAUUAGCUAGUUGGCGGGGUAACGGCCCACCAAGGCGACGAUGACUAGGGGAUCUGAGAGGAUGGCCCCCACACUGGUACUGAGAAACGGACCAGACUCCUACGGGAGGCAGCAGUAAGGAAUAUUGGUCAAUGGAGGGAACUCUGAACCAGCCAUGCCGCGUGCAGGAAUACGGCCCUCUGGGUUGUAAACUGCUUUUAUUCGGGAAUAAACCUAUUUACGUGUAAAUAGCUGAAUGUACCGAAGGAAUAAGGAUCGGCUAACUCCGUGCCAGCCGCCGCCGUAA